ensembl:lncRNA
GUCAAGACCUACAAAUGGGGUCCAUCAUCCCACAGCAAGAUACUGCUGCUACUGUUUCUAAUCAGUGUCAUCCAGAUUUAUUUCAUUUUAACACAAAGGAGGGAUGACAUGAUGCUUUGUGAUGUAAAAUGUAACUUCUGUUCCUGAUGCCUCCUGGAAAGGAAUACUCUCACUGAAAAGACUUUGCUGAGAGAAAAGCCAAGGAAAAAUCGCUGCAAGAAACUCGAAGUGCCAGAAAAAUGAUGCUAACAGAGAUGACAUCUCAAAGCCAGGAAGAAGCGACAAAGCUGAUUUAUUUAGACCCAACAAAAAGCUCUGUGACUGUCUGCAUCAGCUACACACGUUUCUGCUGAGCUCUGAAAUGAGGUGAGGCUCAGUAAAAAGCAGUUCAUAAAGCUCCUUUUGCUGAGGUUAUUACUUACAGUGUAAACAGUUUCGAACCAUAUUGGGUGUCUCUGAUAAAGUUAGCUUAUGGAAUGGAUAUAGCCCUGUUCCUCUCCAAAGACUCAACGCAAACUUUUGUCUGGAAAAGAUCUCUCAUAGGACAGAUGCUUGACAUUACUGUAACAUGUGUGUUUGGGAUUUCACUUGAAACGUGACAGAUCCUAAAAUGUAAGAACAAUGGAAAAGCUGAGUGAUAGACCCCAAUAUGCCCUUGCUGUCAAGAAGGCUAAUGGUAUCCCUGACUGCA